UUUCCUUCUCUCCCACACCUCGUCUCCUUGUUGCAAGUCCGCGCUGUGCCUCGCCGCGUCGACCAAUCCGACGAUGUCGUUGUGAUGAGUAGCUGGCUCUGCAUCCAUCCCCUCCCCCCGAUGCCUCGGUUGGCCAUAGUUCUGUCCAAGCACCACAUGAUUACGACCUUUCGGUUGUCGCUGCCCUUCUCCACUCCCUCUCUUGUUCGCGCGAGUGUCUGCCAUGGCCGCCGCCUCCCGCACCACCAGAGGAUGUCAUGGAUAGCCGCGGCUAUGUUCCAAGGUCCUUGACGUGAACAAUCAAAGGCUUUCCACCGGCGAUUGACGAGCACAAUUGUGUGCCACACCACUGUUCCGUCGUUGUUUUCCCUUCCCAUCUACUGUUUUCGCCGGUGUCACCACCAUCCACCUGCCAACGGCAGGUCCACGUGGAUCAUCUCCGACCUCUACGUAGGUAAUUUCCCUUGUUGAGAUGUACUCCAAGUGCCUCCUCCUCGACGACACCCAUCAAGUGCUCGAAGAUAUGCCUGUGAGCGAUAAGGUGUCAUACAAUUCCCAUAUCUCUAGUUAUGUACGUCGUGGAGAUGUGAAUAUAUCCCGUUCGGUGUUCGAAGAAAUUUCACAUUCACAUGACUGACGACCGACUGUCGCCCCUUUCUAGCGAUACACCGAGGAUUCUAGCUCGAGGCAAAUCCUUUGACUUGAAGAUAGGAUGAUCAAUAGUUGAGAUAGGUUAGCAGAUAGAGGAGGUAUUAUGUCACUCAGAGGUCCUGGCUACCGGUCCCACUCGAGUUGGAUUUCUGUUUCAGUUGUUCAAGUUGUUUUAUUCUUCUGUUCCGCUGCUACUAUUUAUGUUUUCUUUACUUUAUCAAAUCGAUAAAGUUUUAUAAAAAUUGUAUAACUCUUUUGGUUAGUUUAAUAUGAGAUCAUGUUCACAUAUACAUACAUGCAUUGUUAUUUGUAACUUGGUGUUAUUAUAUUACAUUGGUGUUUUAUGUUGGCUUGAA